GAUGAACGCUGGCGGCGUGCCUAAUACAUGCAAGUCGAGCGAACAGACGAGAAGCUUGCUUCUCUGAUGUUAGCGGCGGACGGGUGAGUAACACGUGGAUAACCUACCUAUAAGACUGGGAUAACUUCGGGAAACCGGAGCUAAUACCGGAUGAUAUUUUGAACCGCAUGGUUCAAAAGUGAAAGACGGUCUUGCUGUCACUUAUAGAUGGAUCCGCGCUGCAUUAGCUAGUUGGUAAGGUAACGGCUUACCAAGGCAACGAUGCAUAGCCGACCUGAGAGGGUGAUCGGCCACACGGGAACUGAGACACGGUCCAGACUCCUAAGGGAGGCAGCAGUAGGGAAUCUUCCGCAAUGGGCGAAAGCCUGACGGAGCAACGCCGCGUGAGUGAUGAAGGUCUUCGGAUCGUAAAACUCUGUUAUUAGGGAAGAACAGAUGUGUAAGUAACUGUGCACAUCUUGACGGUACCUAAUCAGAAAGCCACGGCUAACUACGUG
rnacentral:rRNA from 1 species